CAUAGAAGAGUACUUCUGGAGUUUCCUCUGGUCAUCCAUUUCCUCAGAAACUUCUAACUGGCACUUCAGAACUUGGAGGGACUCACUCGUCUGAAAGCAGAGAUGAAGGAUUCUGAAAGCAUAUGGAUUGGGAAGGCAUUCAUGAACUCUGGCAGCCAUCAAGGACCUAGUCUGGGAAUAGUGCAUACGCAUAGCAGUGUAGACCCAAAGCCCUUUCUUGGCUAAAGAUUAGAUUUUAAUGGGAGGAGGUGGUCAAUAAACAAUGCUAUCUAGACAUCAGAUAAUAAAUACUUAGGAAAGUUUAAAAUCAGUUCACAUAGAGAAAGAAUAUUAGCAAAGAAUACUGUUUAGGAAGUUUGUUAAGAUUAAAUUUGGGUGGACACUUAAAGGGAGGAGGAAACAUUUUUUUUGAGGAAACGUAUUUUAGGUAAAUGUGUAUACAGCAGCCCUAAACCUAGAACUAUACCUGGCUUUACAAAGAACACCAUGAGUGGAUAUAGAGACUGGGGUAGCUACCUCUUAUAGCCAGGCAGGACUUCCAGAGGAGGGAGGGGGACAUCAAUCCAUCCAUAAAACCUUUAACCCAAAAUUUGUCUUGGCUAAAGAUGCACAGGGAUAAAGAUGGAUCAGAGACUGAGGGGACAGCCAACUAAUGACUGCCACAACUUGAGGCCCGUCCCAUGUGAGAGAGUCAACCCCUGACACUAUUAAUGACACUCUGCUGUGCUUGCAGACAGGAACCUAGCACAACUGUCUCCUGAGAGGCUUCAUCUAGCAGUGGAUGGAGGCAGAUGUAGAAGCCCAUAUCCAAACAUCAGGGAGAGCUCCUGGAAUCUUGGUUUCAGUGUUUUGUAAGCAUUCUUCUCCAUCACCUUCUGAUUGGUCAGUAAAGAGCUGAUUCAGCCUAUGGCUGUGCAGAGGAGAUAAGAGGGCUGGACUUCCAAUCCCAGUCAGAGGUCCCUCAUACAAGUAAGACAAGAACCACAAGGAAGGAUGAGAAGAGGUGGUCUUGAGGCAGAGGACCCUGGAGGAGCCGUGAUGAACCAGUCGCCAAGGGAUUUGUCUUGAGGACACACAUGGAGCAGAACAAGCCAGGGAAUCUAAUAGGAAUUUGGAUGGGCACAACCACUGGAUCUUUGACUCUCCGUCUGUAAGCUGUGAGUGAAAAGAGCUAAGAUAAGUAAACAAACUUCUUAAUUGCAUUUGUUUCAGUGAAAUUCGUUAAUAUAUGCAUUUAGUAUACACUAAGAAAAAUAAUUAAAAUACUAGAUUACACAUGAGAAAACAUAUAAGAGCAUUGUUUUAUUUUUUCUCUCUUCAGGAGAUAACUCUAAAACAAUAAUUGUCUUCAAGAUAAACCAAGGAAACCAUGGAAACUGAUAUGAAGCAGGGAAGGAG